AAUGAACGCUGGCGGCAGGCCUAAAACAUGCAAGUCGAACGCUCUAGCAAUAGAGAGUGGCGCACGGGUGCGUAACACGUGGGAAUAUGCCUUUUGGUACGGAACAACGUUUGGAAACGAACGCUAAUACCGUAUGGUCCCUUCGGGGUAAAGAUUUAUCGCCAAAAGAGUUAGCCCGCGCUGGAUUAGCUAGUUGGUGAGGUAAUGGCUCACCAAGGCGACGAUCCAUAGCUGGUCUGAGAGGACGAUCAGCCACACUGGGACUGAGACACGGCCCAGACUCCUACGGGAGGCAGCAGUUAGGAAUAUUGGACAAUGGGCGCAAGCCUGAUCCAGCCAUGCCGCGUGAGUGAUGAAGGCCUUCGGGUUGUAAAGCUCUUUAGCCGAUGAUUAUAAUGACUGUAGUCGGAGAAUAAGCCCCGGCUAACUUCGUGCCAGCAGCCGCGGUAA
rnacentral:rRNA from 1 species